rnacentral:rRNA from 1 species
GAAAGGCCUUGUACACACCACAGUGCCUAAUACAUGCAAGAUCAAGCGAAUCUGAGGGAGCUUGCUCCCAAAGAUUAGCGGCGGACGGGUGAGUAACACGUGGGUAACCUGCCUGUAAGAUUGGGAUAACUCCGGGAAACCGGAGCUAAUACCGGAUAAUAUUUCGAACCGCAUGGUUCGGAAUUGAAAGACGGCUUAUGCUGGCACUUACAGAUGGGCCCCCGGCCCAUUAACUAGUUUGUUAGGUAACCGCUUACCCAGGCAACCAUGCCUAACCCACCUGGGAGGGGGAUCGGCCACCCUGGGGCUGAAACACCGCCCAAACUUCUUCCGGGGGGAGCAGUUGGGAAUCUUCCCCAAUGGACCAAAGUCUGACCGAACAACCCCCCGUGAACCAAGAAAGGUUUCGGGUCCUAAAAUUCUGUUGGUAGGGAAAAACCAGUUCCCGAAUUACCGGUGGGUCCUUGGCCGGACCUAACCAAAAAGCCACCGGUUACUACCUGCCAACCGCCGGCGUAAUUCCUUAGGGGGCAAGCGUGGCCCGGAUUAU